rnacentral:lncRNA from 1 species
CAUGUCACUGUUGGCAGAAUUGCCUGUCUUGAGAACCAUGUAGCAUCAUGAACACAAAGUCCUUCACCGCCCUCUGUGGGGGUGGGGUCCCCCAGAAAUGUGCAGCAGGAUUAGGAAGCCCUGGCUGGGGACUGGCCCAGGCAGGAAGGUAUGUGGGACCCCCCCAUAGACCCAGGUCCUUCCCACCAGUGGUUGACACAUCUCCAUGGAGCCCGGGCCCCAAGGUGGUCCCACCGUCCCCACAGAUGGGAAACAAGGAUUUUCCCACACCUCGCAUCCCUUCCACCUGAUCUCGCAUCCACCUAACGUCCUCAGAUGCAGAAUGUCCUCAGCAGGGGCUUUGGGGGACUCCCUCAUUCAGUGAGCUGAGGUGUGUCUGGCAGUAUGCUGCUCCCCACACCUUGUCACAUCUGUGACCUCCCUCUCCACAAGCACCCACGCCUGUGGUGGGACCCCCGAUGCCACAGACCGUAGGCCCAAUUUCAGUUUGUGUUUGAGAUAACCUUUGCUGUACCCUUAAUCGGAUCAAAAGCACUUUUACCACAUGGAGAAAUAUAUUUUUAAUUUGUGAUGCUUUUCUACAAAGUCCACUCUUUCUGAGUUCAGGUGUUUCCAACACUUAGGGAGACUAAUGAAGGCCAAUGACCUUUUCUUUUCUGUCCAAACAAGAAAAAUAAAAAUAAAAGUCUAUUUAG